CCGCCCCCGAGUCCCGCGAUCCUGGCGGGACUCGCUGGUUCGCGCCGGGGUAGUUGUAGAGCCGUGGAGGCGGGGAGGCGGGCGGCCUCUUUCCCCGUGUCCUCAUCGUCCUGCAGAAGCCUCAGAAUUUACCUGAUUAUUUGGCUCAAAUUUAUCAAAAUUGGGAGGCUGCGCUUUCUGGGGGGCUGGGGAAGAGCGGAGUUUGGGAGGCCUGGGGGGCGCGUUCUGGCUCCGCCCCUCCGCGCUCCGGACCCUGGCGGGCUUUUUCUUUUUUUUUAAUCUUUUAAAAAUCUUAAAAUCUUUUUAAAAUUUCAUUUAUUUAUUCAUGAGAGACACAGAGAGAGAGAGAGAGGCAGAGACACAGGCAGAGGGAGAAGCAGGCGCCACGCAGGGAGCCCGAUGCGGGAUUCGAUCCCGAGACCCCAGGGUCACGCCCUGGGCCGCAGGUGGCGCCAAACCGCUGAGCCCCCCGGGCAUCCCCAGCCUGGCGGGCUUUUUCAUCUCCAAUUUCGCGUCGGGGAGGGAGGUGAGCGGAGAGGCUGGGCGUCCAGCCCCGCAGCGCGUCCUCGUGAUGGUGACCUACCGGUCCUCUUCGUGAUCAGAAUCCAGUACCGCUCGUACCCGGGGUCUGUGUUUAUUAGCGUGUCCUGUUCUUAACCAAACUGGCCACUUCAGCCGGAGUUUUAGGGCAGCUAGGAAUGCCUGAGGAAUAUCACAUAUAUCCCACCUAGGAGUGGCGGUGGGGGUUUGUGGGGUGUCAGCUUGUGCUUUGUCCUCAGCUUGCCUUCCACUCCCUCAUCAUUCUCAUUUACUUUUCAUGAAGAACAUCAGUGAUCUCUGUUUUGCACCGGCAAGCAUUGCUUUCAGAUUCUUAUAUUCCAUAUAAAGUAGCUUUUCCUAAAAAACAGAAGUCCAGCACCAACUAGCUUUUAAGAAAAUAUUUUCACAUAAUACUCAUAAAAUCCAAGGUCUUAUUUCCUAUUUGUAAUUGCAGGUUUUCAGCUAUCCUUGACUUUUAUCACUUCCAUAUUGGUUUAUAGUUAAAACUACUCCUUCUCUUUUGCCACACCCCUUCCUUCAUGGAGAUGAUUACUGGAUCCCCUUUCUCCAAUGUGAUUCUCAUUUCAUUGUUCUCUUUGUCAUGAUGGUAUCUUCUUUUUUAUUUCAAAUCCAUGCACAUCUGCUUGAUCUUUUUCCAGUGGGUUCCCUUUUAUUACUGUUAGUUCUUACUAGAUUCAAACAGACUUUUCACUCUUAGAUUUUUAGUUCACAAACUCUGUCCCUUCUGUAAUUAACAUUUUCUGUAGUCUUCGACAUCCUUCUUCAGUCCUCUAGUCACAAGUAUUUCUUAUUCUUUGAAUUCUGACUUAAAUUCCUAAUUCAGCAAAUACUUAUUAGUACCAGUCUCUACCCUCUCUAAAGUUCUACAAAAUACUUAUGCUUCUAUAUCAAAAAUAUGAUAUCUCUACACUCUGUAUAAAUACUUGGUGGAAACUGCCUACAGAAUUAAUUCUAGUCUCUUUAAGGUGACAUGCCUGGCCUUUCAUAAUUCAUUCUCAGCCUUCUUUCCCAGACUCAUCUCCUGUUUCUUCUUUAGAUUGCCUUGUCUUUUUUUUUGUUGUUGUUCACUACUGUGAACCACCCAACCAACCAACCAAUGACAAAAGAUAGCAUGCCAACUUUGUUAAUGGAUAGAUGAAUGAAUGAAUUCAGAAGGCAUUUAUAGAAUGCCUACCUUAUGCCAAGAAGUGUGUAAGGUGUUGGGAUAUAAAGAUGAAUAAGAUGUGGACCUGUCCCAAGGAGUCCAUAGUUGAGUGGAGAUGAUUUGUAUAAAGACAUAACCAGAGAAAGAGUAAAAGGCAUUAUAAAUAGAGUAGAUGGCACAAGGCAUAGAACAUAAACAUAAUGCUUGAUGUAAAAAUUAUCAAGAUUUAGAACAGGAGAUCACAGAAGCCUCAGAUAAUAUAGUAUUUUGUAUGCCAUUUUAAAGAACUUUGUGUCAUUCUUGAAAUGUUGAUGUUCUUCAUCUCUGUGUCUUUGCACGUGCUAAACUUGAAAUGCCCAUCCUCUCCAUAUCUCUCCGCAUGUGUAUUUCUAUUUCUAUGUCUAUUUCAAAACCCAGAUCUAAUCCAUUUCUGGAAACAUUGCUCCUAUUCUCUUCUUUAUCUCUUAAUCCUUUCAUCAGAUUUUUCUUCUGAGCUUUAUUCAUAUAGUGGCAUAUCUUUGUGACAUACCUCAGGGCUUAGCACACAGUGGACAAUAAAUACUGGUUGAAUAUGAGUAAGUUUAGGGAGUUCAUUUCCUACUUUCUGAUUAAGGUAAAGGAAAAGAAUAGGUUAGAAAGAAAAAUGCAGAAACAUUGAAAAAUGCAGAUUAUUGAAAUACAUAAUAUAUUCCUCAAAUUAUUCAAUAUUUUAAGGCUCAGCAAAUUAAUGGUAGUGAUUAUUUCCCAUUGAUAUAACAUUGAAACAUUUUUUUUAUGCCAGCUAGCCAUAUUCUCUUUGUGUAAUACCAUCAGUGACCAAGUGAUCAUCAUAAAGCUGAGUAACCUACCAUAGAAUAUCCAUCCUAGCUUUUUUGCUUCAGAGGCUGUCAGCCCCAUAUACUUUCCCCAUCCUACUUUUUAACCUGUAAAGUAAAAACAAGCUUCUAUUAUGCCAUGGAACAGCUGCAGUUUCAGGUUCAAAGAGUACAAUUCAAGUAUCACCAGCUCCCAGUUGCUGCCCAAUAUAAUUACUACCCCUCCUUUGUGCUCCUUUAUUACAUACACAGACUCCUGUUACAUGUUAUUAUAUUUAUAUACAUUAUAAAUUAUAUACAUUAUAUACAUUUAUAUUCUUGUUUCUCCUCACUGUGAGCACUUUCAUAGCAGUGGUCUUGUCUUAUUAGUGUCUGUAUACUUAGCAUCCAUCCCAGUUCUUUGACAGAGUUGUGCUCCAUAAAUGUUUACUGAACUGAGGAACAACCAGAAGAACAUAUAGAACAUAGUAUAAAGAUGGGCAUUCUUUUGAAACUAGAGAACACGCAUUCUGUUUUUUAGAUUUUUCAAAUGAACAUUGGUUGUUGUUUUGUUACUUUUAUGCUUCUUAAAAUUCCUAAGUAAUUACCUGCAUACUCCAUCAAACAUUAACAUGCACAGAAACUCAGGUAUACCUUGAUCACUCUCUCUCCUCCCUUUCCAACUCUGACCUUAUCUUCCAAACACUAACUUCUGCUCCACUUAUACCCCACUCCGGUUGGGUGGCAGAUAGGGAAUAUCCAGCCCUCUGGCUAUUCUUCAGUCUUCACUCUUCCUAUACUCUAUUUUCCCCAAAUCCCACUCCUACCCAAAAUGGUGGGAUCCUGACCUUUAUUUCCCAAGGGACUUCAGACCAGGAUAAUGUAACAUCAAUACAUUUUUAAGAGUUUGAGGGGUUUUUUUUUCCCCUUCAAAAUACAGCAUUUGUGGGACAUUCAUGGCAUAGCUUAUUGCAGCUUCAGCAAUCCAGAUCUAAUUCUCUUUAUAUCUUUUGUCAGUGGGCAUUGAAAAUCAUGUCUGCCAGUCUUUUUUGCCAUUUCUAGUUCUCCUCUCCCAAUCUUUAUGGGUCACUACUUGGAAAAAAGAAAAUGCUUAUUGACUUCUAUAAGGACAAGCAAUAAUGUACAGGCAUAGACUACUCUAGAUCCAUACACAGUAAAGAAACAUGUUUUUGAGAGAAACAGAUUUUGCCUACGUUAAUAUAAAUAUGUUACUAUAUUAAGGAAAGCUCUUUAUUUUCUUGGUGCUAUAUAUCUAAAAUCUAGCAGAGAACCAUUGCUCAAUGUUUGUAUAAACUUGAGUAUCCAGAUGAUUCUCCAAAAACAAAGGCUUUUUAUGCCUAAAAAUUUAAUCCUUCACAUUUUAGGGGAAAAAAACAGGGUUUGCAACUUUCAAACAGUUUUGCCCAUCAUUGCUGUUCAAUGAUUUAAAAUAAUCUCAUUUAAAAAACACCUCAUUUAUGACUUAGCUUGUCAUCUUAUUACUUUUACUGCUUAAAAUAUUGAUGUAUACUAGUGCCAAGUUCCAAACGCUUUUCCUAAGUUACUUUAUGUAACUCAAUAAUUAUUUAUUUUUAUUUUGUUUUUUAAAGUAGGCUCCAUUCCCAGCUUGGAGUCCAACACCAGGCUUGAACUCACAACCCUGAGAUCAAGACCUGAGCUGAGAUCAAGAGUCAGAUGCUUAACCUACUGAACCAAUUAUCUCCAUUUUACAGAUGAAGAAGCAGGAUCACAGAACUAGACUUUGAUCACAGAGAAAAGCCAGGACUAAAGUCCAUCCAUUUAUUCAACAAAUGCUUGGGUGCUUACAAUGUCAGUGAAGAGUACAACAAUUUCUGCCUCACGGAGCUUAUACUACAGUGGAUAUCAGUUCUUAUUUUAUUGAUUACAAAGCAUAACUUCUUGCAGUAAUCUUAUAGUGCCCUAGAAAUAACUAGCAGUCUUAAUGCCUCUGGUAACUUUCUUUUCCAUGUUACUACUGAAGCCCUCAAGUCAUUGAAACCCCAGCUGACCUAUUUCACCAGAUGCUGGACAUUCUCAGUCAAGUUUGGAUUUAUAGUGGGUACCCAGGUUUAGGUCACAAACGUAAAAUCUUAACAACUUCUUUGUGUUCAGGGAAGUGAAGAAGAAGUAGUAUCUCACUAAGAAUAAAUGACAGGAUAAAAGGUAGAUUUGUAAAAAGCAGCUUGGAUGUAGCAUAGGUCAAAGUGCUGAGCAGGGACAACAGGAGGAAAUGUUCCUCACAGUUCCAGUCAGUGGCAUCUUUUUAUACAAAGCAAUAUUGCCAGCAUUCUACUUAGAGUAUUUGCAGUAAUAUUUAUUUUGAAUAUUUUUUAUUAAUUAAUGGGAUCUAGGAGUAUCUGGUGAGAAUUUCUCUACAAAUGGCCAUUGGAUUAGUCUUAUUCAUGAAACUCAUAAAUCCAUGAAAUUCAACAUUUUAUGUCUAGGAAAAAUAAAACUGGGGUCAUGCUGUUUAAGAGGGUAAGGGAAUUUAACGGAAUGCUGGGGUAUUUAUGGCAGAUUUAUGACAAAAAUCUAACUGGAAGCUUAAUUGUGAUUUAAAUUACAGGUCAAGCUGUGCAAUGUGUUUUCUUUUUAGGGGGAAAUCUUUGGGGAGGUAGAGUGUACUUGUUUAAAGAAACAGCAAAUGAGAAAAGAUUGCAUUUUCUGUUUCUCUUUUAAAAUUUCAAGCUGCAGGGCAGCUGGGUGGCUCAGUCAGUUGGGUCUCUGCCUUUUGCUCAGGUCAUGAUCCCAGGG